GGCUACAGUUCUGAUGCAAACAGGAUUUAAUCCUGGGAAAUCCAAUGAGCAGUAUGCCAGAUGGAAAGAUCAUGCUGGCUCUUUUUCGCUUGACCUUGAAGGUACUGUUGUUUUUGUUUUCUGGUUAGAACUUUGUCUUGGAGCAGGCGUGUGUGGUUGGUGGUGUUCAUACAGUUCUCUCACUGCCUUUCCAGGGCAAAAAUCUGUCCCUGUGGGACGACCUGGGGGUAGAAAAACCUGCAGGAAAGUGCCUGUGAGCUGGGUGGGUUUCCAGCUGUACGUCCUUCAAGGAGACUCUAACUGUGGAUUUCAUAAUGCUCUCCUUAUUCCGAGGCACUCAACAGAGGAAAAGCAUGCUCUUGGCAUAACUGCAGUCAUGAAAAAUGCACCAGUCCCGUCUCCCCUUUUGUGUCUCUUUAAGGACUUUGCUGCAACUUUGAGUGUGAUGCUAUAAAUUAGGAACUCUGUUUACCCCCUGGAAAAGCAGAGCUGCCUUGUGACAUUGAGUUUAGAUAAGUCCCCUUUUUGUCCCCAAGCUUUCAUCUAGCAGAUGCAGACAAACUGCUGAGUGCAUCAUAAAUUCUCAAGGCAACGCUAAAAAAUGCUUCAAAAACAUGAUUGUUUGUGCAGAAAAGGUCUGUAAAUUUUGAGCACCAAGCAGCACAUAAUUCAGUGGUGCAGUGAAUGGCAGUGCAGUGAUUUAUGGAGAGGGAGAUCUGGCUUUAAACAAGUCACUUAGUUUUCUUCCUUUUUCUUUGUAUUUAGUUGAUUCUUUCCUCCUUGCCCCUUCCUUCCUGUGUUGCCUCCCAGCUACCUCCUCCCUGCGUCUCACAGAGCCUCUUUUUGAAGGACUGUGCAAAUUAAACAUGUAGGUGGACACUGGAGUGUACUUACGCCAACAGCCUCAAAGAAAAAUGAGAACGCAUUUUCCUUUCUUGCAAUAUUUGGAGCUGUUGGAACAGACAAGUGUUGGGACAUCAGUAGCUUUACUCUGAAGAUUGUCCCGUUGCU
rnacentral:lncRNA from 7 species